GAAGAGCAAGACAUCAAAUAAAGAUAGCCACAUCCAAGCAAGCAACUCCAUAGUCUUCUUCAUGAUCUCCCAUGCAUCAGAGGACAUACUCCUUGAAUGGCUCAGAAUAAGGCAUUAGACACAGGUUCAAAGUAACAACUUGUAGCGGGGUAUUCGUUACCUUAUGGUUUAUUGAUUAAACCAAAAGUAAACAUACAAUUCGAGUUGCC
rnacentral:lncRNA from 1 species